AAUAAAUUGAGAUGCUACAAAAUAAUAUACAGGGAUAUCGACAAAACUAAUUUUUUGAUACUGUGUUAUGUAUAUAAGCAAUUGAGACAUCCAUGUACGACAAAUGUACGACAUUAAUUAAAAAUGUAGCUUCCGGCAAGCUACUGUUAGCUGUGUCACAAACCGUGAAACGUAAACAAAGCUCGGAAAUUUUUGCGAUUUGUGGUAUGGUUGGACCGACCAAAAUGGCUGUAAUAUGUUCAAAAGUUCAUCUAAAAGUUCCAAAUUUCGUCUACUUCAAGC